rnacentral:rRNA from 1 species
CGCCUGGGGAGUACGGGUGAGGUAACGGCUCACCAAGGCGACGACGGGUAACCGGCCUGAGAGGGUGACCGGUCACACUGGGACUGAGACACGGCCCAGACUCCUACGGGAGGCAGCAGUGGGGAAUAUUGCACAAUGGGCGCAAGCCUGAUGCAGCAACGCCGCGUGAGGGAUGACGGCCUUCGGGUUGUAAACCUCUUUUAGCAGGGAAGAAGCGAAAGUGACGGUACCUGCAGAAAAAGCACCGGCUAACUACGUGCCAGCAGCCGCGGUAAUACGUAGGGUGCAAGCGUUGUCCGGAAUUAUUGGGCGUAAAGAGCUCGUAGGCGGUUUGUCACGUCUGCUGUGAAAAUCCAAGGCUCAACCUUGGACUUGCAGUGGGUACGGGCAGGCUAGAGUGCGGUAGGGGAGAUGGGAAUUCCUGGUGUAGCGGUGGAAUGCGCAGAUAUCAGGAGGAACACCAAUGGCGAAGGCACAUCUCUGGGCCGUAACUGACGCUGAGGAGCGAAAGCGUGGGGAGCGAACAGGAUUAGAUACCCUGGUAGUCCACGCCGUAAACGGUGGGUGCUAGCUGUGGGCCACAUUCCACGUGGUCCGUGACGAAGUUAACACAUUAAGCACCCCGCCUGGGGAGUACGG